CCCUCCCCCCACCUCUCUCUCCCGCUUCACCCCUUCACUCUUCUCCACUCCCCAGCCCCAUGUCUCUGUCUUUCUUUGCUGUUACUGACCACUUACUGUGUAUAGGUAGUAAGAUCAGCACUGUGCUAUAAUGAUGAAAGAGUGCCGAUUAGAUCAAGGAAGGCCGCCCAUCAGGUGUUGUUACACACAGGGCUCAGUCACAGCCCGAUGCUGUUGGCGAGUGAUGUACCUUGAACUCCCUGGCCUUCCACCAUGAUCCCUUCCCAGGACCUGGCAUUCUCUAUGAGUAUGAAAUGAAUAAAUCUUUAAAAAAAAUGCUUUAAAAAAGAAUUAAACUACACUAAGGAACUGCUGAGCCGUGGGACCCCAUCGGAAGCAGUGCCGUUAACAUGGGGUUUGGAGUUAAGGGAGAAAGGUUUGGGUGCUUUUCAUGGAAGAUUCACCCUCUCGGUGAGUCAGUCAGAAGGAGGUGCCGGUUCUCUCUCCAUAGAAGGUAUCUUUUAUUGCAUCCGUGAGCUUGUUUAUGUAAUGUUUAUGUGUCCUCCUUUUCCUCUGUGGAGUCUCCUCGGGUUGGUUUCCUUGUGCAGGAAGUGCCUUGUUCAGAUGGCAGGGCAAACUGACCUCCUCUGAGGAGUCAUUCAAUACCUUGUAUUCACCCAGAAGCAAUGCUUACAGAAGGAUCUGUAACAUCAAGAAGUAUCUGAAGCCCUGAGGUAUAGAGAGGCGUGUUAAAAGCUUUUUAGUUUUUGAUGCCUUGGUUUGGCAUCCUUUUAUAAUAAAUUGAAAUAACAACG
rnacentral:lncRNA from 1 species